rnacentral:rRNA from 1 species
CCUACGGGAGGCAGCAGUCGAGAAUAAUUCACAAUGGGGGCAACCCUGAUGGUGCAACGCCGCGUGGAGGAUGACGGUCUUCGGAUUGUAAACUCCUGUCAUCUGGGAGUAAGACCUGGCUGUUAAUAGCAGACAGGGUUGAUAGUACCAGAAGAGGAAGGGACGGCUAACUUCGUGCCAGCAGCCGCGGUAAUACGAAGGUCCCGAGCGUUGUUCGGAAUCACUGGGCGUAAAGGGAGCGUAGGCGGCGCGGUAAGUCAGAUGUGAAAUCCCGGGGCUCAACCCCGGAACUGCAUCCGAUACUGCCGUGCUAGAGGAUUGGAGAGGUAGCUGGAAUUCUUGGUGUAGCAGUGAAAUGCGUAGAUAUCAAGAGGAACACUCGUGGCGAAAGCGAGCUACUGGACAACUCCUGACGCUGAGGCUCGAAGGCUAGGGUAGCGAAAGGGAUUAGAUACCCCUGUAGUCCUAGCAGUAAACGGUGCACGCUUGGUGUGAGGGGAAUCGACCCCCCUUGUGCCGGAGCUAACGCGUUAAGCGUGCCGCCUGGGAAGUACGGUCGCAAGACUAAAACUCAAAGAAAUUGACGGGGACCCGCACAAGCGGUGGAGUAUGUGGCUUAAUUCGAUGCAACGCGAAGAACCUUACCAAGGCUUGACAUGGAUUUCUAAGCACGUGAAAGCGUGUGACCCUUCGGGGAACUUCCACAGGUGCUGCAUGGCCGUCGUCAGCUCGUGUCGUGAGAUGUUGGGUUAAGUCCCGCAACGAGCGCAACCCUUGUGAUUAGUUGCCAGCACGUUAUGGUGGGAACUCUAAUCAGACUGCCCAGAUCAACUGGGAGGAAGGUGGGGACGACGUCAGGUCAGUAUGGCCCUUACGCCUUGGGCUGCACACGUACUACAAUGCCCAGCACAAUGAGAACCGAUACCGCGAGGUGGAGGAAAUCUAUAAAACUGGGCCCAGUUCGGAUUGGAGGCUGCAACUCGCCUCCAUGAAGUUGGAAUCGCUAGUAAUGGCACAUCAUCUUCGGUGCCGACUAUACGUUCCCGGGCCUUGUACACACC